GACAGAGGGGUGCAAACGUUGUUCGGAAUUACUGGCGUAAAGGCGAAGUGUAGGCGGUUUGGUAAGUCGGAUGUGAAAGCCCCGGGGCUCAAACCCGGGAAGUGCACUCGAUACUGCCAAGCUAGAGUGUCGGAGAGGUUGGUGGAAAUUCUCGGUGUAGAGGUGAAAUUCGUAGAUAUCGAGAGGAACACCGGUGGCGAAGGCGGCCAACUGGACGAACACUGACCGCUGAGGACUCGAAA
rnacentral:rRNA from 1 species